UACGAAGGGGGCUAGCGUUGUUCGGAAUCACUGGGCGUAAAGCGCACGUAGGCGGAUUGUUAAGUCGGGGGUGAAAUCCUGAGGCUCAACCUCAGAACUGCCUUCGAUACUGGCAAUCUCGAGUCCGGAAGAGGUUGGUGGAACAGCUAGUGUAGAGGUGAAAUUCGUAGAUAUUAGCUAGAACACCAGUGGCGAAGGCGGCCAACUGGUCCGGUACUGACGCUGAGGUGCGAAAGCGUGGGGAGCAAACAGGGAUUAAGAAACCCUGGUAACGUCC
rnacentral:rRNA from 1 species